GACGAACGCUGGCGGCGUGCUUAAUACAUGCAAGUCGAACGGAAAGGCCCUGCUUUUGCUUGGUGCUCGAUUGGCUAACGGGUGAGUAACACGUGAGUAACCUUCCCUUGACUUUGGGAUAACUUCAGGAAACUGGGGCUAAUACCGGCUAUGGCUCCUUCUUCUUGGUUGUUGUUUGAAAGUUUCUGCGGUUGUGGAUGUACUCGCGUCUUAUCAGCUUGUUGGUGGUGUUGUGGCUUACCAAGGCUUUGAAGGGUAGCCGGCCCGAGAGGGUGACCGGCCACAUUGGGACUGAGAGACGGAGCAGACUACUACGGGAGGCAGAAGUGGGGAAUAUUGCACAAUGGGCGGAAGACUGAUGAAGCAACGGCGCGUGAGGGAUGAGGGCCUUCGGGAUGUAAAGCGCUUUAGCGUGUGACGAAGAGUGAGUGAGGGUAAUGGGAAAAGAAGAAGGGGAUAACUACG
rnacentral:rRNA from 1 species